AUUGAAUGCUGGCGGCAUGCCUUACACAUGCAAGUCGAACGGUAACAGGUCUUCGGAUGCUGACGAGUGGCGAACGGGUGAGUAAUACAUCGGAACGUGCCUAGUAGUGGGGGAUAACUACUCGAAAGAGUGGCUAAUACCGCAUGAGAUCUACGGAUGAAAGCAGGGGAUCGCAAGACCUUGUGCUACUAGAGCGGCCGAUGGCAGAUUAGGUAGUUGGUGGGAUAAAAGCUUACCAAGCCGACGAUCUGUAGCUGGUCUGAGAGGACGAUCAGCAACACUGGGACUGGGACACGGCCCAGACUCCGACGGGAGGCAGCAGUGGGGAAUUUUGGACAAUGGGCGAAAGCCUGAUCCAGCAAUGCCGCGUGCAGGAUGAAGGCCUUCGGGUUGUAAACUGCUUUUGUACGGAACGAAAAGCCCCGGGUUAAUACCCUGGGGUCAUGACGGUACCGUAAGAAUAAGCACCGGCUAACUACGUGCCAGCCGCCGCCGUAA
rnacentral:rRNA from 1 species